rnacentral:lncRNA from 1 species
GCCGCUAGGGGUUGUCACCGCGCCAAGGGAGGAGCCGCCGGUGAGGAACACAAGGGUGCUCGAGAGGAAGCGCCGGCAGAUAGACUCCCCUGAUGAGGAAGAGGGGGAGGAUGUGGAGAUUGUCAGGGCCCGGCAGCGGAAGAAGGCCCGUCAAGCCCCGUCGAAAGCUGCUGUGGUGGACGGGGAGGCGCCCGCCGCCAGUGACUUGGACUCAUUCGCCGCCUACGCGGAGUUUAUGACGGAUGGUGAGCGGGAGUUCCUCUUCCACCUGUGCGAAAGGCUAGGGUUUGGCGGCCUAGCGGGGAUCUCGCGCCCGACAGCGAUUGACCACUCGCCUUACAGCUCGGCGUUUGGUCAGAUUUAAGCUGGGCUGCACGACAUGUUUGAGGCGGUGAAGAAGCAGCCUUUGGUCGAAGGGGAGCUCAGGGAGGAGAUUGAAAGCCUCAAGAGGGAGCUGGCGGAGGCGAGGGGGAAGCUGGAGGAGACAGAAAGGCGGCUGGCCAAGGCGGAAUGUGACUUUGCCGACGCCCGCGGUAAGCUCAACGUGGCUAUCGAGCGGGACCUGGAGAGGAAUGAACGCGUCUCCAAGUUAGAGCAGGACGUCGCGCGGCUGCAGGAGCGGAUUGCCGCUAAGGACAAGAAACUCAUUAUCGUGCAGCAGGAGUCCGCCGCCAGGGUGACGGAGCUGAAGCAGCUGGAAGGCCAGGUUGCCCGCCUGAGGGCUGAAGGGGAUACUGCCGCGGCCACCGCUGUUGAAGCAUUCAAGCAGUCGGCGGAGUUUAAGAAGGCGAUGACCGAGUCAGCGAAGGCUGGGGCCCUAGCAAACAUAGACAUGCUGAAGCGGAAGGGCGCCAUCGACUUCGCCAAAGCGUCACAGCCUGAUGUGCCGCCGGCCAAGAGUACCCCGCCGGAGAAAGAUGUAGUGCCUGCUCCAGCGGGAGGCGCCCGCUCAGGCAGUGGAGAAAGUGGCACACAUCCGACGGAAGGGUCCCAGCGGACUCCCAACACCACCCCGUCGGAGGUGUCGCUUGCUGGAUUCCUGGCGGCGCACACCCGGGCGGACGGCACCAUAGAGACCCCAAGUCCGACAGCGCGAGGGUCCGAUCAAACGAGUCGAGCGAUCGUGCCGCCGCC